GAUGAAGAACGCAGCGAAAUGCGAUAAGUAAUGUGAAUUGCAGAAUUCAGUGAAUCAUCGAAUCUUUGAACGCACAUUGCGCCCGCCAGUAUUCUGGCGGGCAUGCCUGUUCGAGCGUCAUUUCAUCCAUCAAGCCCCAGGCUUGUGUUGGGGACCUGCGGCUGCCGCAGGCCCUGAAAACCAGUGGCGGGCUCGCUGUCACACCGGGCGUAGUAGAUUUUAUCUCGCUCAGGGCGUGCUGCGGGUUCCGGCCGUUAAAAAGCCUUUUUUACCCAAGGUUGACCUCGGAUCAGGUAGGAAGACCCGCUGAACUUAAGCAUAUCAAUAAGCGGAGGA
rnacentral:misc_RNA from 1 species